rfam:Schistosoma curassoni strain Dakar, Senegal genome assembly, scaffold: SCTD_scaffold0001830
ACCUAGCUAACAAGUCUCAAAUAGGACGUAACACGUGUCCUGGAU